rnacentral:rRNA from 1 species
UACGAAGGGGGCUAGCGUUGCUCGGAAUUACUGGGCGUAAAGCGUGCGCAGGCGGUCCGCAAAGUCUGAUGUGAAAGCCCCGGGCUCAACCUGGGAACUGCAUUGGAAACUAACGGGCUCGAGUGUGGCAGAGGGGGGUGGAAUUCCACGUGUAGCAGUGAAAUGCGUAGAGAUGUGGAGGAACACCGAUGGCGAAGGCAGCCCCCUGGGCUAACACUGACGCUCAGGCACGAAAGCGUGGGGAGCAAACAGG